rnacentral:lncRNA from 9 species
UAAAAAAAAAAAAAAAAAAAAAAAGUCUUAAUGAGAUUUAUGCAAAAUGAACUAAUGAGAAGCAGAAGUUAAAGCAGAGGAAAUAGAGUCCUCAAAAAGUGAAAGAAUACAAGGGCACGACAGAAAGAAGCAGACAUGCAAAGAGCAGCUAGGAUCCAGUGAUGAUGGAUCAUCAGAGGAAAGCUCCAUUCACUGAACACAGAGGGCUCCAGGGCAUCUCAAGAUGCAGAACCAACCUAAGGCUCCUGUUCCCCAAAGCUCAGGUGUCUUGUUUUCUCUUUAAUGGCAGCUGGACACAGACUCACUGCAGGCAGCCAUGCUUAUGAUGAAGUAUAACAAAGUCAGACAAAGAGGAGGAUGGACUGAGCCCUUAGUCAAAGGACUGAGCCUACCAGCCAGCUGAUGUCCUGGUACCAUUUGCCCUGAAAGGUGACUGCAUCAGAUUGAGAGUCAUUUGCUAUAGUCUGCCUGUUUAAGAAAGCCCAGUCUCUCCAUAUAUCCAGUCCAUUCUGGGUUAAGUACCAAUAUUGAAUAUUUAUCACUAAGUCCCUUACACGUGAUAUUUAAAAUGUCAUUUGUUAAUCAAUUGCUAUUAUCAUUUCUAUUGUAAAUCAAUGUUAAGUACUUUCCAUGUAUGGGUUUGUUAGUAUUUUAUGCAUACCCCAUGGACCUGGAAAUAAUGGAUAGAGUAACCUCUUCUGAUUUAAUUGUAGUAGUUUCCAUUCGUCUCUCCUGGAUUUUCAGGGUUCUGUUCAUAGGACUGUCUUGUUUUCCCUUAGACUAGACUUCCGUGAUGGCCAUCAUCAUCAUAAUGUCACAUAUAUUGGGUACUCACCAUGCUUGAAACAUUGCGUAACUAACACACUAACACUCAUUCAAUUCUGUAAGUUGCUACUUUUAUGAUUACUACUAGUAGUACUACUACCACUAGUACUACUAUUAUUAUUACCUCCAUUUUGUAGUUGAGGAAGUUGAGUCAUAGAGAAGCUUCUUGCCCACAGAUCACAAAACUGGGGAGGGUCGGAGCGAGAAUAUGUAACCUAUGUCUGUGUGACUCCAAAUUCUGAGCCCUCGAGAGCUCCACCAUUUACACUCCUCCCUGUCUAGGACCUAAAAAAAACUUCAUUUCUACUGGUUUCACUAAAAUGGUGGCCCAAUGAAUGUCAGGUUAUGGACUAAUUUACCAAAUUAUAAGAACAUGAACUUAGUCUAAAGUGAAUGACAGCUACCUGAAUGUGAUGAGUCUAAGUGAUUGUCUAAGUUAAUCAGCUUCAGAAAAAACAGAGCUGCUUUGUAAGGGAAAGCAGUAAGUAUUAGGAAAAAUGGGUUUCUCUUUUUUUAUUCUUUUCUGUGUGCCACUGGGUAAGUUUCUAGCUACUCUAUGCUUUAAUUCCUAGAGUUGGACUAGAUAGAGUUUAAGGCAGUGUUCUUCAAACUGCAUCUCAGAAGACAUUAGUGGGUUAUGAAAUCAAUUUAGUGAAUCACAACCAUCAUAUUUUAAGAAAUGAAGAGCAGACAUAAAUAUAUUUAUAGCAUUAGUACUAUCCUAUUUGUAGUAUUAGAAUGGUAGAAAAUAAAAAAUAGAGAUACUUAUCUCUAUAGUAAGAUAAGUAUCUUUGAUCAGUCUUUCAUCUUGAGUGUAAAUGUGUGGUGUGUGUGUUAGAUGUCUACCUCAAAUUGGAAGAUUCCAUCCAAUAAUUAUACUUAAGUCACAUUCAAAUUUGCAUACUGUAAGUCUCACUAUAGUUUGUUAGUGACCAUCUUAUUGGCAAACUUCAACAGAAAAGAAAAAAAAUGAAAGAGGAAAAGAGUCAAAAAGCUAAUAAUUUCCAAUGUCUCUUUGAUACAGUUAUUUCCCUGAUAACUAAGAAGCUAAACAUACUCUAAUUCUCAAAUGAUGUUUUUCCCCCUUGAUUCAUGACCACUAUCAUAUUUUCCUUUUAACAUAUUUACAAAAGUGACAUCUGUUCCCUUCUUUAACAUAAUUCCAUGAAUGAUAAGAAACCAAAGCAACACAGCUAAUCUCAGGAUAUCAGCUCUGCAUGUCAUAAUUUGUCAAUAUUUAGGCAAAAGCCUCAUGAGAGACUUGAUAUAUUGCUCUGAACCCAUUUGCUUCAAAGCCGUAUUCCUCUGUUUGUUCCAAAUGACAAUUUAGUGUAAAAACAUAACAAUCUAGUCACCUAAGUAACAUAACAAUCUGUAGCAUCCACUUCUUAACCCAUCCAUCUCUUUAUGCUGUACUGAGAAGAAGUCUAUUUCUUUUUGAGCAGGUACCAGAUCAGAUUGUGACAGUCAGUGGGAUAGGUUGCCAAAGACUUUCUCUGAAUAGCUCUAUAAUGAACACUAGUACAUCAGUGUUCUCCACAAAGAUUCCUCCCAGGUUCAAAGGAAAGAUUAGGUCUUAGGAAGGACAACUAAAAUGUUAUCUUCACAAAAGCAGCAGUUUCUCCAAAUCCAAAUGCACCAGAAUUCCUGGGGAGCUUUUCAAACAUAGAUUCCUGAGUCCCUUAAUGCAGAUAGUUAAAUUAGGUAGACAUGCUAAUUUGGUAGGUCUGAGAUAGAAACUUAUACAUUAUUAAUGAUGAACAGCAUACACAGGAAAAACA